CUGAGAACAGCAGUCUGUCACAAAUGCCCAGUUCUGUUUGUACAGCAUUCCAUACAAAAGAGAAGAAAACUCUCAUGGGUCUCCACCACGUAGCCCAAGAUGGAAAUGAAAGAUUGCUGAGUGACGUGACAAUACUGUGAGAUGUACCUACCUGUGAGAUGUGAAAUAAUUAAUAUAAUCACGGGGUUAAAAACAAGCCUGAUAGGACAGAUGAGUCCUGCAGGAGCCGUUCUCUUCAUGGAAUCACACUGGCUUCAACUUCAUCAGUGGAUAAAUGAUUCAUUUUUUCCCCGUUUGAGAGCAAGACUUUCUGGAUUCCAGCUUCCAGAGCCAUCCCUUUUUAGAUACUGAAUAUGCAUGACUUUGGCCGCUCACCAACACCCACACAGUUCCUGAUUUGUUUAGGUUCUUUCCCUUCUGGACUGCUGAUGGGACCUUACAAACCAUGCUCAGUCUUCUUUAAAGAGAAUUUGGAUUGUUAUUACCCCA
rnacentral:lncRNA from 1 species